rnacentral:rRNA from 1 species
GACGAACGCUGGCGGCGUGCUUUACACAUGCAAGUCGAACGGUGAAGGUGGAGCCUGCUCCGCCGGAUCAGUGGCGAACGGGUGAGUAACACGUGGGCAACCUGCCCCUAACUUUGGGAUAACUACUCGAACGAGUAGCUAAUACCGGAUAUGAAGUCUGUAGGCAUCUAUGGAUUUGGAAAGUUUUUCGGUUAGGGAUGGGCCCGCGGCCUAUCAGCUUGUUGGUGAGGUAGUGGCUCACCAAGGCGACGACGGGUAGCCGGCCUGAGAGGGCGACCGGCCACACUGGGACUGAGACACGGCCCAGACUCCUACGGGAGGCAGCAGUGGGGAAUAUUGCGCAAUGGGCGAAAGCCUGACGCAGCAACGCCGCGUGCGGGAUGAAGGCCUUCGGGUUGUAAACCGCUUUCAGCAGGGAAGAAGCGAAAGUGACGGUACCUGCAGAAGAAGCACCGGCUAACUACGUGCCAGCAGCCGCCGUAA